rnacentral:rRNA from 1 species
GACGAACGCUGGCGGCGUGCUUAACACAUGCAAGUGGAGCGACGAACCAGGGCUUGCCCUGGGGCAGAGCCGCGAACGGGUGAGUAACACGUGGGUUACCUGCCCCGAUGACCGGGACAACCCGAGGAAACUCGGGCUAAUACCGGAUGUGGUCUUUUAGACGAAAGGAAGCUUCGGCCUCCGCAUCGGGAUGGGCCCGCGGCGCAUUAGCUUGUUGGUGGGGUAAUGGCCUACCAAGGCGACGACGGGUAGCCGGCCUGAGAGGGCGACCGGCCACACUGGGACUGAGACACGGCCCAGACUCCUACGGGAGGCAGCAGUGGGGAAUCUUGCGCAAUGGGCGAAAGCCUGACGCAGCGACGCCGCGUGAGGGAUGAC